rnacentral:rRNA from 1 species
GAUGAACGCUGGCGGCGUGCCUAAUACAUGCAAGUCGAGCGAACGGACGAGAAGCUUGCUUCUCUGAUGUUAGCGGCGGACGGGUGAGUAACACGUGGAUAACCUACCUAUAAGACUGGGAUAACUUCGGGAAACCGGAGCUAAUACCGGAUAAUAUUUUGAACCGCAUGGUUCAAAAGUGAAAGACGGUCUUGCUGCCACUUAUAGAUGGAUCCGCGCUGCAUUAGCUAGUUGGUAAGGUAACGGCUUACCAAGGCAACGAUGCAUAGCCGACCUGAGAGGGUGAUCGGCCACACGGGAACUGAGACACGGUCCAGACUCCUACGGGAGGCAGCAGUAGGGAAUCUUCCGCAAUGGGCGAAAGCCUGACGGAGCAACGCCGCGUGAGUGAUGAAGGUCUUCGGAUCGUAAAACUCUGUUAGUAGGGAAGAACAUAUGUGUAAGUAACUGUGCACAUCUUGACGGUACCUAAUCAGAAAGCCACGGCUAACUACGUG